UGGGGAAUCUUCCACAAUGGACGAAAGUCUGAUGGAGCAACGCCGCGUGAGUGAUGAAGGCUUUCGGGUCGUAAAACUCUGUCUUCGGGGACGAAUGUACGAAUUGUGAAUAAUGAGUCGUAAUGACGGUACCCGAGGAGGAAGCCACGGCUAACUACGUGCCAGCAGCCGCGGUAAUACGUAGGUGGCAAGCGUUAUCCGGAAUUAUUGGGCGUAAAGCGCGCGCAGGCGGGAAUAUGAGUCUAUCUUCAAAGUGCGGAGCUCAACUCCGUGAUGGGGUAGAAACUGUAUUUCUUGAGUGCAGGAGAGGAAAGUGGAAUUCCCAGUGUAGCGGUGAAAUGCGUAGAGAUUGGGAGGAACACCAGUGGCGAAGGCGACUUUCUGGACUGUGUCUGACGCUGAGGCGCGAAAGCUAGGGGAGUGAACGGG
rnacentral:rRNA from 1 species